rnacentral:rRNA from 1 species
GACGAACGCUGGCGGCGUGCUUAACACAUGCAAGUCGAACGGAAAGGCCCUGCUUUUGUGGGGUGCUCGAGUGGCGAACGGGUGAGUAACACGUGAGUAACCUGCCCUUGACUUUGGGAUAACUUCAGGAAACUGGGGCUCAUACAGGAUAGGAGCUCCUGAUGCAUGGGGGGGGAUGGAAAGUUUCGGCGGUUGGGGAUGGACUGGCGGGUUAUGAGCUUGAUGGUGGAGUAGUGGCGUACCAAGUGUUUGACGGGUAGCCGGCCUGAGAGGGGGACCGGGGACAUGGGGACUGAGGGAGGGCCCAGAAGGCAACGGGAGGCAACAGGCGGGAGUAUGACGCAAUGGGGGGGAGCCUGAGGCAGCAACGCCCCGUGCGGGAUGCCGGCUUUCGGGUUGUAAACCGCUUUGGCCGGUAAUGUAGCGUGAGUGACGGUAAUGGGUAAAGAAGCACCGGCUAACUACGUG